CGUUUGUGGUAAGCAGUUUUAAAUUUUCUAAGAGAACACUUUUUCUGAAUGGAAAUGAAUAAUAUUUGUGUACAGAUAGCCAGUGGACUGCCAGAUAGGGUCGGACCUAAACAUGUUACUAGAGUUGCCGAAUUUUCUUUAGCCCUACUCAAAAUUCAAUCGCAGUUGACCUUUAUCGCGGACUUACGGUUUAAAUUGGAUUUCAUUCCGGUCCUUGUGCUGCGGGAUUGAUGGGACUAAAAAGGCCACGUUACUGUUUGUUCGGAGACACGGUUAACAUGGCUUCCAGAAUGUGCAGCCACGGACUGCCAAACCACAUUCAUCUAAGUUCCGAU